ACAUACGCCAACUAAAAUGGUCGUAACUUGCUGAAUUAUUGACGGAUUUACAAACGGUUUGGUUUAUUACAAACCCUAUUAACGUGGCUAUGAUUUGUGCUGAUGCCGAUGUUUAAAUCUAUAAUUUUCACAAGUAUGCAGUUAAAUAGCCGCAUCCCUGACGUUUAUGACACACCAAGCCGUUUGAAAAUCGGUUGAAAAUUGAGCAACAUAUAGUUAUUUCAGCACUACAUGCACAAUAGACUUUAAUGUUAUUGCUGGACGAGCGGUCCUGUCCUAAGAUGGCCGCUGUGUGACGUCGUCGGGUCCCAUUGGCUCUCAGCGCCGGUAAGCCAUCUAGCCUUUCUAUACAUGUCUAUGCUCACAAGAACAGACGAGCAUGCUCCGAUGCAUGCCCGGUAAAAUGGGCGGGGCGAGUCACAUCCGGGUAUUAUAACCGUUCUUGGCCAGAUGCGGACUUUAGAAUUGGAACAGUACUCGGGCUGUGACUGAUGACGUUUCACGAGUCCACGAGAACAAAAGUCCACACAAGAACGCAUAUUGAGAAAGGGCCAGUGAGUGGGAGACCGUGCUGAAAAAGAUUCAAAGUGACCAAUCGGAUGACAGUGAAUAUGCUGAUGGAGAAAAAGCAACAGAGAGGAGGAGGGAUGAAUACAAGGUAAUCGUUAAAUUGACGCAAGAAGGGGCUUCUUUUGGUGAAUGGAAUCCAAUCCGGCUCACUAGAUCUAUACAUAAGGAAAUUGGAGAGAUAAAGCGUGCUAAAGGGCUGAGAAAAGGAUCAUUGCUGAUAAUGUGCAGGGAUGGAAGACAACAAGGGAGAGCGAUUAGGAUGAAUACAAUAAAUAGCAAGAAAGUGCAAUGUUCCACGGCUGGUGACAAAAAACUAGUCAGGGGAGUCAUCUCAGGAAUCGCAGUCAAUUUACCGAGGACGAUGUUAAAACACACGUAACUAAUGCGAAAGUAGUUGAGGUUAAACGGAUUAAAUCGAACAGAAAUGGGAUUAAAAGUGACAGCCUUUCAGUCUUGAUCACUUUUGGGGAGGGGAAACUACCGGAAAAAAUCUGUAUUAAAUACUUGUGUUAUGAGGUCAGGCCGUAAAUCCCCCCUCCACUCAGAUGUUAUAAGUGUCAGAAAUUUUGACAUGUGGCGGCUGUGUGUAAAGGAAACCAAAGGUGUGGAAGAUGCGCAGGAGACCAGGAGUACGGCAAAUGCACCAAAUGAGCAAAGCUGAAAUGCUGCAAUUGCGGCGGACGGUGGAUGUGAGGUGAGCAAAAGAGCAGCACAGGUACAGCGAGUAUAAGUUUGUCAGGGAAUCAGUUAUGCAGUGGCAGCAAAGAAGGUUUCAGGGGACACACGGGUAACAAGGGAAAUUAAAACCGUGAGCGAAGAUCGGGAGAAAUGUGAAGGAUGCGACAAACUGAAGGAGGAAACGCUGCUAGUUAAAAAUAAUGACUUUGUGCUCUUUGUGGCGCAAGUAAUUAACUGUUCGGCACAGACAAAAAGCCGCAAUAAAAGGAUGAAAAUAAUUGUCAGAUCUACUGAAAAGUACUUAGAAGUGGAAGGACUAAAGUGGGAAACUGUUAGAGACACAGAUGAAGAAACACAACCACCUCAAACAUGGGCUGGAUCUUCCUAAUGGUGCUUAUAUUACAAUGGAAUGUGAGAAGCUUAACAGCAAAUGGACAGGAGUUUAAGAAAUACAUAGAUAAUAUAAUUGAGAAACCUAUUGUAAUCUGUAUUAAAGAGACAUGGUUAAAACCACAAUGGGAUUUUGGGAUAAAAGGGUACUCUGUUGUUAGAAGAGAUAGGGAAUCUGGCAAAGGUGGAGGAGUGGCAACAUUCAUACAGAAUGAGGUGAGUUAUAAGAUAAUGCAGAAAAUACAGGUAAGAGUAGAUACAGAAUAUUCAAAUAUAUAUACUGUGGAUAAUGGAACUCUGCAAGGUAGUGUAUGUAGUCCGUUAUUAUUUAAUAUAAUGAUAAAUGACAAAAAAAUGAUGAUAAAGAAUUAAAUUGCCAUUAUGAAAUAAAAGUGCCAUUAUGAAAUAAAAAAAUGUUUAAAACGGUCAGAUAUCUGGGGAUUUGGUUUGAUGAAAAGCUCACAUGGAACAUACAUUUAGACAAGGUCAAGAAUAAAUGUAAAAAAGUCGUCAAUAUACUCCGGUGUUUGAGAGGAAGAGAGUGGGAAGCAAGUAGAGCAUCGCUGCAAAAUAUAUACUGGGCACUCAUGAGAUCUGUCCUUGACUAUGGGUGUGUAGCUUACACGUCAGCAGCAGAAACAAACCUUAAGAAAUUGGAUGUACUGCAAGCUCAAGCAUUGAGAAUCAUCAGUGGAUCAUUCACAACAUCUCCGGUAUCAGCAAUGCAAGUGGAAGUGGGAGAGAUGCCCCUGAGGAUUAGAAGAGUUAAAUUAAUGCUGGCACACUGGGUUAAUCUCCAGGGACCAGAGAUGCUCACGAGUCCCAAAGCUCGAGUCCGAGUCGAGUCUGAAGUCACGCGUGUGUGCGACUCGAGUCGCACUCGAGUCCGAGUCUCAAACUCGAGUCCCCAUCUCUUAUCAACGUCCCUUUUACCGUAAAAAAAAAAAACAUACCAACA